rnacentral:rRNA from 1 species
AUGCUAGUACACGGAAGUGGGCAUGCACACACGCGCAUCACUCUCGCUGGUGAGGCUGUCGGAGGACAUCGUAAUGGAGAUCCUGGCACGCAUGCCCGCUUCGCCAACCUCUUGCCGUGGCCGUGCGCCGCCACAUGCAAGCGCUGGCGCGCCCUUGUCACCGAGCCAUCUUUCCCGCGCCGGCGCUGGCCAGAGGGCGCCUGCCACUGCUCUCCCUCGUCGUCUUCCUCUCUCUUGAGCGGCGCCAUGGCGGGGAAGGUCGGCGGGUCUCGAUCUUCGUCCGGAAGGCUCAAGUUGCGGACAUCCCUUGCUCGGCUCCUUGUCCCAGGCGCCGACGGCCGCUUCGACGACCGCGUCAUGCUGCUCGUGUCACAGGACCACAUCAUCCUCGUGCGCUUCGGCGGCGGUGCGCGGAGGUGGAGCCGUGCGUCGACCGCCUCGCCGUCUUCGAUCUGCUCUCCCGCGCAUGCCACGUAG